rnacentral:piRNA from 1 species
UAAAAUUGGAUGUCUAGGAUAAUGAUU